UAAAGUUUGGGAUUUAUCACAAAAAAAAUGCUUCAAGUUGGGUUUUUCUUAACUAAGGUUAGGAACGAAGAAGAAGGAAGAAGGAGAGGUUCAAGCUAUUCGGCUUGAGUGUUAGAUUUUUGACAAGGCACUCAAGGAAAGGAGGAAUAGAUCCCCUAUUUGUGACAGAUCAUGCUGCAGAUCCUGAUUCAACCUUGGUUGCUUCAUGGGCUUGUCCACUCUCCCAUCUCUUGCUUUGAAGUUGAUGCAUCAUGGUCUACCACUUGAUACACCAGCUGUUGUAAUAAAACGAGGGACUACCCCUCAACAAUGAGUGGUAUUUGCAGAACUUAAGGAUCUCAUAGAUGACGUUACUUCUGCAAACUUGGUUUCACCAACCCUUAUCAUCAUUGGGAUGGCAUUCUCACUAUUCUGGCCUCACUGUUCUAAAGAAGCAGCUAUUUUGGUGGAGUCUCAAUAGUCAAGUUAAAGACACCUAAGGAAAAGGGAGAUUGAUGCAAUCUCCUUCACGGCCCGAAUACAAGGAACGGGAGAGUACUUGACUUUGUAGAUAAAACCAAUUUUAGAUAGAAUACAUUCGACCAGUAAUUUGGAGAUAUCUAUCUGCUCUAAUAUCAGUUUGGGGUGAUUCAAAUUGAGAAUUAAAUAAAAGAGGUGGGGCUACAACUUUUUUGAGAUA